AUGCAAGUCGAACGGAAAGGCCCUUUCGGGGGUACUCGAGUGGCGAACGGGUGAGUAACACGUGGGUGAUCUGCCCUGCACUUUGGGAUAAGCCUGGGAAACUGGGUCUAAUACCGGAUAGGACUACGGCAUGCAUGUGCUGUGGUGGAAAGCUUUUGCGGUGUGGGAUGGGCCCGCGGCCUAUCAGCUUGUUGGUGGGGUGAUGGCCUACCAAGGCGACGACGGGUAGCCGGCCUGAGAGGGUGUCCGGCCACACUGGGACUGAGAUACGGCCCAGACUCCUACGGGAGGCAGCAGUGGGGAAUAUUGCACAAUGGGCGCAAGCCUGAUGCAGCGACGCCGCGUGAGGGAUGACGGCCUUCGGGUUGUAAACCUCUUUCAGUACCGACGAAGCGCAAGUGACGGUAGGUACAGAAGAAGCACCGGCCAACUACGUGCCAGCAGCCGCGGUAAUACGUAGGGUGCGAGCGUUGUCCGGAAUUACUGGGCGUAAAGAGCUCGUAGGUGGUUUGUCGCGUUGUUCGUGAAAACUCACAGCUUAACUGUGGGCGUGCGGGCGAUACGGGCAGACUGGAGUACUGCAGGGGAGACUGGAAUUCCUGGUGUAGCGGUGGAAUGCGCAGAUAUCAGGAGGAACACCGGUGGCGAAGGCGGGUCUCUGGGCAGUAACUGACGCUGAGGAGCGAAAGCGUGGGGAGCGAACAGGAUUAGAUACCCUGGUAGUCCACGCCGUAAACGGUGGGUACUAGGUGUGGGUUUCCUUCCUUGGGAUCCGUGCCGUAGCUAACGCAUUAAGUACCCCGCCUGGGGAGUACGGCCGCAAGGCUAAAACUCAAAGGAAUUGACGGGGGCCCGCACAAGCGGCGGAGCAUGUGGAUUAAUUCGAUGCAACGCGAAGAACCUUACCUGGGUUUGACAUGCACAGGACGCCGGCAGAGAUGUCGGUUCCCUUGUGGCCUGUGUGCAGGUGGUGCAUGGCUGUCGUCAGCUCGUGUCGUGAGAUGUUGGGUUAAGUCCCGCAACGAGCGCAACCCUUGUCUCAUGUUGCCAGCGCGUUAUGGCGGGGACUCGUGAGAGACUGCCGGGGUCAACUCGGAGGAAGGUGGGGAUGACGUCAAGUCAUCAUGCCCCUUAUGUCCAGGGCUUCACACAUGCUACAAUGGCCGGUACAAAGGGCUGCGAUGCCGUGAGGUGGAGCGAAUCCUUUCAAAGCCGGUCUCAGUUCGGAUCGGGGUCUGCAACUCGACCCCGUGAAGUCGGAGUCGCUAGUAAUCGCAGAUCAGCAACGCUGCGGUGAAUACGUUCCCGGGCCUUGUACACACCGCCCGUCACGUCAUGAAAGUCGGUAACACCCGAAGCCGGUGGCCUAACCCUUGUGAGGAGCCUCAAGUGU
rnacentral:rRNA from 1 species